UACGUAGGGACCAAGCGUUGUCCGGAAUCAUUGGGCGUAAAGAGCGUGUAGGCGGCUUGUUAAGUCUUGCGUGAAAUCUCGGGGCUCAACCCCGAGCGGUCGUGAGAAACUGGCAGGCUAGAGUGCGGGAGAGGAGAGUGGAAUUCCUGGUGUAGCGGUGAAAUGCGCAGAUAUCAGGAGGAACACCGGUGGCGAAGGCGGUUCUCUGGGCCUUACCUGACGCUGAGGAGCGAAAGCGUGGGGAGCAAACAGG
rnacentral:rRNA from 1 species